rnacentral:rRNA from 1 species
GAACGGGUGAGUAACACGUGGGCAAUCUGCCCUGCACUCUGGGACAAGCCCUGGAAACGGGGUCUAAUACCGGAUACUGACCAUCACGGGCAUCCGUGGUGUUCGAAAGCUCCGGCGGUGCAGGAUGAGCCCGCGGCCUAUCAGCUAGUUGGUGAGGUAAUGGCUCACCAAGGCGACGACGGGUAGCCGGCCUGAGAGGGCGACCGGCCACACUGGGACUGAGACACGGCCCAGACUCCUACGGGAGGCAGCAGUGGGGAAUAUUGCACAAUGGGCGAAAGCCUGAUGCAGCGACGCCGCGUGAGGGAUGACGGCCUUCGGGUUGUAAACCUCUUUCAGCAGGGAAGAAGCGAAAGUGACGGUACCUGCAGAAGAAGCGCCGGCUAACUACGUGCCAGCAGCCGCGGUAAUACGUAGGGCGCAAGCGUUGUCCGGAAUUAUUGGGCGUAAAGAGCUCGUAGGCGGCUUGUCACGUCGGUUGUGAAAGCCCGGGGCUUAACCCCGGGUCUGCAGUCGAUACGGGCAGGCUAGAGUUCGGUAGGGGAGAUCGGAAUUCCUGGUGUAGCGGUGAAAUGCGCAGAUAUCAGGAGGAACACCGGUGGCGAAGGCGGAUCUCUGGGCCGAUACUGACGCUGAGGAGCGAAAGCGUGGGGAGCGAACAGGAUUAGAUACCCUGGUAGUCCACGCCGUAAACGGUGGGCACUAGGUGUGGGCAACAUUCCACGUUGUCCGUGCCGCAGCUAACGCAUU